CAUUUAGAAAGCUCUGAAGAGCAAAGGAUUUGGUGCUUCCAGUUGAUUAGAAUGCUCGGUAUCCUGUAAGAGAGGGAUACAGUUCCUCUCACUUUCCAGGUGCUUUGGACUACAACUUCCAACAUCUAUGGCCUGGUUGGCUAGGAAUGAUGGAAUCCAACAACAACUGGAGUCUCAAGUUCUCUACAUCUGCAUGAAAAUGAUGAGUUGUUCCCCCCUCCAUCAAAAGUGGGCCGUGCCCAGUAAAAUCCCCACUCUUUUUAUGUUUGUUUACCUUUUUGAAGGAAAGGAAAAAAAUAUGGAGAUAGAGAUUGAGAGAAUAGCAGACAGAAAGGGAGAGAAGGAAAAUCUCAAAGAGGAAGAGUGAAAGAGACAAAGGAGGACAUAUGUGAGAACUGAGGCUGAGUCCAACAAUCCAGUGAAAGCAGGGAGUUCCCAAUCCCAUCACAAUUAAACCUGGACCAAAAUUAGUACCUUAAGAGAAUAAAAUUUGCUAAAACUUCAA